UACGUAGGGUGCGAGCGUUGUCCGGAAUUACUGGGCGUAAAGAGCUCGUAGGUGGUUUGUCGCGUCGUCUGUGAAAUUCCGUGGCUUAACUCCGGGCGUGCAUGCGAUACGGGCAUAACUUGAGUACUGUAGGGGAGACUGGAAUUCCUGGUGUAGCGGUGAAAUGCGCAGAUAUCAGGAGGAACACCGGUGGCGAAGGCGGGUGUCUGGACAGUAACUGACGCUAAGGAAAGAAUGCAUGGGGAGCCAACAGG
rnacentral:rRNA from 1 species